GGGUUAACGUCCCGUAACGAGCGCCAACCUUGUCCUUAGUUACCAGCACGUUAUGGUGGGCACUCUAAGGAGACUGCCGGUGACAAACCGGAGGAAGGUGGGGAUGACGUCAAGUCAUCAUGGCCCUUACGGCCUGGGCUACACACGUGCUACAAUGGUCGGUACAAAGGGUUGCCAAGCCGCGAGGUGGAGCUAAUCCCAUAAAACCGAUCGUAGUCCGGAUCGCAGUCUGCAACUCGACUGCGUGAAGUCGGAAUCGCUAGUAAUCGUGAAUCAGAAUGUCACGGUGAAUACGUUCCCGGGCCUU
rnacentral:rRNA from 1 species